UCUUUUCCGGUUGCUUACCGUGCGAGUCGAACGGUGAAGCCAAGCUUGCUUGGUGGAUCAGUGGCGAACGGGUGAGUAACACGUGAGCAACCUGCCCUGGACUCUGGGAUAAGCGCUGGAAACGGCGUCUAAUACUGGAUAUGAGACGUGAUCGCAUGGUCGUGUUUGGAAAGAUUUUUCGGUCUGGGAUGGGCUCGCGGCCUAUCAGCUUGUUGGUGAGGUAAUGGCUCACCAAGGCGUCGACGGGUAGCCGGCCUGAGAGGGUGACCGGCCACACUGGGACUGAGACACGGCCCAGACUCCUACGGGAGGCAGCAGUGGGGAAUAUUGCACAAUGGGCGAAAGCCUGAUGCAGCAACGCCGCGUGAGGGAUGACGGCCUUCGGGUUGUAAACCUCUUUUAGCAGGGAAGAAGCGAGAGUGACGGUACCUGCAGAAAAAGCGCCGGCUAACUACGUGCCAGCAGCCGCGGUAAUACGUAGGGCGCAAGCGUUAUCCGGAAUUAUUGGGCGUAAAGAGCUCGUAGGCGGUUUGUCGCGUCUGCUGUGAAAUCCCGAGGCUCAACCUCGGGCCUGCAGUGGGUACGGGCAGACUAGAGUGCGGUAGGGGAGAUUGGAAUUCCUGGUGUAGCGGUGGAAUGCGCAGAUAUCAGGAGGAACACCGAUGGCGAAGGCAGAUCUCUGGGCCGUAACUGACGCUGAGGAGCGAAAGGGUGGGGAGCAAACAGGCUUAGAUACCCUGGUAGUCCACCCCGUAAACGUUGGGAACUAGUUGUGGGGACCAUUCCACGGUUUCCGUGACGCAGCUAACGCAUUAAGUUCCCCGCCUGGGGGAGUACGGCCGCAAGGCUAAAACUCAAAGGAAUUGACGGGGACCCGCACAAGCGGCGGAGCAUGCGGAUUAAUUCGAUGCAACGCGAAGAACCUUACCAAGGCUUGACAUACACCAGAACGGGCCAGAAAUGGUCAACUCUUUGGACACUGGUGAACAGGUGGUGCAUG
rnacentral:rRNA from 1 species